UACAGAGGUCUCAAGCGUUGUUCGGAUUCAUUGGGCGUAAAGGGUGCGUAGGCGGCGCGGUAAGUCGGGUGUGAAAUCUUGGAGCUUAACUCCGAAACUGCAUUCGAUACUCUCGUGCUUGAGCACUGUAGAGGCAGGUGGAAUUCCGGGUGUAGCGGUGGAAUGCGUAGAGAUCCGGAAGAACACCGGUGGCGAAGGCGGCCUGCUGGGCAGUAGCUGACGCUGAUGCGCGACAGCGUGGGGAGCAAACAGG
rnacentral:rRNA from 1 species